UAGUUUUCACCUAUAUAUAGGGCACGAAUAAGCCCUAGUGAGGUACGUUUUUACAGUUGCAUGAGUUUUAACCUAGUUUUCAUAAAGUUACUCAGAAUAGUAGUCUCUAGUUGUUCUUGACGGCACACCCAGCUGUGAGCACAAGGCAAUUAGGGCUACACAGUUUAGUUACAGAGUUCCAGUUGUUGAGAUUAUUAUACAGCUUCUAGUUACUUUGGUGUUUCUCGCUAACUGACUUGAUCGUCGGAGUGCAAACGGCCGCGAGGGCGCCCCUUUGUUCUUCCUUUUCAGGUACACAGACGUGGCAGAACGAAGGUCCCCUAGCUUGUUAGAACGAAGCCACGCAUAAAGACGACCCAGGUCAACCGGCCGGAACAGGAUUUAAUAUAGGUUAACCAGAAGGAUAUAUUAGUGUACUGACAAAAGCUUAUGGGAUAAUUGAUACAUCUUGGUUGUACUUUGCAAAUUCUCCAAACUUAGGAGAGCUGAAUACACUAUUCCCAAUACUUAUACAUAAAUUAAUUAGGAUUUGACACUUGG
rnacentral:lncRNA from 1 species